CGAAUACGGGCAAGAGUCCUGGCCACACCCGCUCGGCACUCACUCCGCCAUCGCAACCUUCAGGUCGUCUGGGAGCUCUUUUAAUCCUCGGGGGAUAAGUAGAAAAAAUCCACACCCUUCCUCGAAUGGGGUGCCCAGAACUGCAGGCAACGCAGCAGAACUUUGAAACAGGUGCUGCCUUUGGUUAUGAAGACUAUUCGAGCCACUGCUAAUAGAACCAUUGGCCUGUUCGCACAUGAAAUCAUAUUGGGAUGGUCUGUGUGCCUACCAUCUGAUGCACCAGUGAGGAAUUAAACAGAUGGAAGUACACUACCUGGAUGAGAGAGCAUGUUGAAUUAUUCUACAGCCUUGACAAUAAAGCAUCACUAAAUAUCAUCAACAGAGAAAAGAAAGCCAGACUCCAGUAGAGGACCUUUAAUGCCACCACAUUGAAUCCAAGGACGGUGUGGUGGUGCAGACAUUUAAAAGAAAGAACUGCUUGGCAUCUUGAUUUGAAGUACCAUUUCAGGUUUUGCUGGUCACUAAUACAGGGAAAAGCCAUGGUGGAUUCACAUCUCUCACUGUAAGGAGGUACCUAACAAUUUAAAUAAAACCACUGAGAGUCUUAAUGAUGGUGAUGGGAUUAGCUCUUGUCCUUUCCCCAGCAGAUGUGACUGCCACAAACUGCUGGGUUUGAAUGGCUGUCCCGGCACAUGUGGGGAUGGGCGUGCCCCUCUUACCUGUGCUCUUUAAUGAAAUGGAGAUGAACUGUUACUUUAAUUGGUCCAAGCCUUCAGCCCAGGGUAUGUUUGGUUUCUGGUGUAAUGAUGAUAGGACUCAGAAACAUAUACCCCCUUCCUACCCUUAUCAGUACAGCCAGAAUGUCAUUGGAGGAAAAUAGGGAUAUAAAUUUGGAAACAAGAAAUAUUUGAGGAUGGUAUUCCCUCAUACUACAAUGCUAACCUCAGGAUAAAAAGGACUUAUUGAUGUUCCUGGGAAAGAUACCAUUUGCCAAGGGAAACACUAAAGUAGCAUGGGAACUGAUUAACAUGGCAUCAUCAUUGGAAAAAUUAGCCAAUGAAACUGCAUAUGCUCUCAAUCAAACCCAAAAAGCCUUAUCUAAAUUGUUGGCAGAAUUCAUGGUGAUCCAUACAGUGGGAUUGCAAAUCUGAAUGGCUUUGGACUUUGUUUUAUCUGAGAAAGGAGGCAAGUGUGCCACAAUUGCUUUAUUUACAUACUAGAUGAAUCAGGAGAAUAUAACUCACUUGACAGAUCACAGGAUGGUGAUGGACUGCUGCCCUGCAUUACUUUACUUUAUUGUCACCAAACAAUUGAUACUAGAACGUACAAUCAUCACAGUGAUAUUUGUUUCUGUGCUUCGCGCUCCCUGAAGUACAAAUCAAAAUAAAUAUAAUAAAAAUUUAUUAUGAAUCAUAAUUAGAAAAUAGAAAAGGGAAAGUAAGGUAGUGCGAGUCAGGUCCAGAUAUUUGGAAGGUACGGCCCAGAUCCGGGUCAGGAUCCAUUCAGCAGACUUAUCGCAGUUGGAAAGAAGCUGUUCCCAAAUCUGGCUGUACGAAUCUUCAUGCUCCUGUACCUUCUCCCAGAGGGAAGUGGGACAAAAAGUGUGUUGGCUGGGUGGGUCUUGUCCUUGAUUAUCCUGGCAGCACUGCUCUGAUAGUGUGUUGUGUAAAGUGAGUCCGAGGAUGAAAGAUUGGUUUGUGUGAUGUGCUGGGCUAAGUUCACGAUCUUCUGCAGCUUCUUCCGGUCUUGGACAGGACAACUUCCAUACCUGAUUGUGAUGCACUUCCUAUUGGUAUUAUAAUAUUGUCAGUCAUCCUCUUGUGUAAGUGUGUAAGUUAUUUGGACCCAGAAAAAGAGAGUAUUAGAAAAUGUGUAUCUCUUGGUCUGGACAAGGAAGAGGAGAUUUUGCUUAACUAAAUCUCUGAGACUGUAUCAUUUUAUGAUGUCGGAAAACACUUCAAUGACUGUAUUCUAAAGCAGAAUCUUAUGGAAUUAUGAUGUUGUCAUGUAAUGACAAAAAAGAGGGAAUGUGGAAAUAUAUUCAAAACUUUGAGAUACUUUAUGAAUUUAAUUUUAUAAUGUAACAAAAUGGAAUCUGUAUAAUCCCAUAGUGCUUUGCCAAAUGCUGAGUUUGUACGUGACAGGAGGCAUCUAAUGUCCUGAUCAUUGUUUGUUGUGUAACUACAGGGAGAUUGAUAUACUGCUGGCUUUGAGAAGUGCAGCUCUACUGCAGUGGAGGAGCUGUCCUGCAGAACAGAUAACAAGGAUCAGCCUGAAAUCUUGUAUUAAAAAAGGAACUUUGUAAGCUGUAGAUCAGAAGCAGCUUCCAUCCUGAGGAAUGGAGAUGGUUCUGAUUGCUAGCAAUAAGCACAUCUUUGAACAGAUUCACUCUGUAUUUAUUUUUGGUUCUGUGUUAUAAGACUUAGUGAAAGGUACACAACACAGUGCAGCAUGUUUUCAAGGCCCUCAGUCCAAAGAACCAAUGCCUGAUAUGGUGCCCAUCCAGCUAGUCCCAAUUUCUUACAUUCAGCCCAUAUCCCUUGAUGCCCAGAUCUUCCAUGUACCCAUCCAAGUGCUAUACAUGAUGAUAAAUAAAAAAACCCAAUUUGCUACCCAAUGUCUUUUCAAAGUAGACUCUGGACAAGAGGUGGAACUGACGACCUGAACAAAGUGCGUUGUGUUACUUAUUGCUAGUUGAAGGAGGGGAAGAUGGGAAUUUUGAAAACUAAACUAAUAUGCAGAAGGCAAAUGAGAGGGCAGCCAGUAUUUUAGAAUAAUCUUCCACUUCCUCAAACCACACCAACAAAUACAGAAGUUUUGUUUAAUUGAGAAACACAAGAGAUUCUACAGAUGCUGGAAAUUCAGAGUAAAACUAGAAAAUACUGGAAGAACUUGGUCAAACAAUUUCUAUGGAAAGGAAAGGACAUUUUGGCAGAGAUUUUUCAUCGGAACUGGAAA